ACUCUAUUUUUGUAACAGCAAGUGUUUACAAAUUAGUGAAAUCGAAGCACGAGGCACAUAACCUCGAAUACUUUUCAGUGACUAUCGUGAAAAUUUUCUGUGAUUUUAUAAGAAGGAUGGAAAGUAGCAAUGUCGUAGUUAGUGUUAAGCGAGAGCUGAACGACACUUGGUCAGAUGCAAGCAACAAUUAUAAUUUCGAUUCGGAGAAUUCUUGCGAAGUAAAAAACUUAUGGGAACAUUCACGUUUAAUCAAUCAUCAGUCAACCACAUAAAUGAGGCUGAUUGGUUACAAGAAAAAGUAGAUAGAAAACUAUCCAUAGAAUUUGAAUGAAAAACAGUCAAUUUGAACCGACAUCUCUAUCGACAACAAUCUGCAAAUCUGAGUAUCACAAUUUGCAACCCAUCGUAAAAAUAGAAAACCAAAACCAGGCAAAUUAUUUGAAUGAAAAAAUAUUCAUUGAUUGCGAGCGUAAAGAUGUUGAACCUAAACUGAAGUCUCUUUCAACUUGCAUCUGCAAAUCUGAGUAUCAGAGUUAUUCGCCUGUAGGGAAAUUAGAAACCCGAAAUGAAAAAGGUCCAAUUGUUUUGAUAAAAAAAGAUUUUGAUUACCAUAAUAAUUGUCAAUUUCAAAAAAAUCCCAGAUCGAUAAUUGAAGAAUACAAGAAGGAUGAAAUAUUUCGAAAAACUACUCAAAUCUAUAAAGUCAAAACUUAUAAAGAAAUAACGAAUUCAAAAACAAAUAUCAACUUGGCACAUAAAGAUAUUAGACCAUAUAAAUGUAAGAUUUUUCACAAAUCAGUUACUUAUCAACGUAACAUACAAACUAACAUAAAUGCAGUACAUUAUCAGAGCAAACGUUUUGAUUGUGAUAUUUUUCAAAAAUCGUUUAGAUGCCAGAAAAACUUGAAAAAACACAUAAAUGUUGUACACGGUCAGAGCCAAAUCUUCGAAUGUGAUAUUUGUCAUAAAUUAUUUGGACA